AUUGAACGCUGGCGGCAGGCCUAACACAUGCAAGUCGAGCGAGCGGCGGACGGGUGAGUAAUGUCUGGGAAACUGCCCGAUGGAGGGGGAUCACUACUGGAAACGGUAGCCAAUUCCGCAUACCAUCAGAUGUGCCCAGGUGGGAUUAGCUAGUAGGUGGGGUAACGGCUAACCUAGGCCACGAUCCCUAGCUAGUUUGAGAGGAUGACCAGCAAAACGGGAAGUGAGACACGGUCAAGACUCGUGCGGAAGGCAGCAGAGGGGAAUAUUGGACAAUGGGGGCAAGCGUGAUGCGGCAAUGCCGCGUGGGUGAGGAGGGCCUUCGGGUUGUAAAGCACUUGCAGCGGGGAGGCGUUACCCAAAGAGGAAGCACCGGCUAACUCCGUGCCAGCAGCCGCGGUAAUUC
rnacentral:rRNA from 1 species